AAUCGGUUAUUUAUAAAAUUGAACACACCAUCUAAUAGUUUCCACUUACAACACCAACUGGUGUAAACAAAAACAAAAUUGGUAAAUAUUCUGUAUAAAUAAAUGACUUACAUAAAUUUGUUUAAAAAAUAUUUAUCCAAAAUUACUUGGGAAGAGGGUGUUUUUUGCGCAUGCUCACUGUCGAAACAUGAAGGCCUGAUAUUUGGUAACUUUUCAUUACUUGAUCAGGAAUGACUGUUGCAGCUUUUUGGGGAAGGUUUCAAUAUAAUAAUAUCAAGAAAAUUUUGUAAAUGACAAAGUGUUCGAAUUUAUCAUCAGUCAACAUUCAUACAGUCCCCUUUUUACAUACCCCUUUCUGGGCCUCACUUCGUGUGAGUUUGUUUACUAAAUAUAAAUUUAAAUUAUGUAAAGUUUUCAGCAAAGGUUAAGCUUUAUUUUGAUACCGACCGUUGAUUACAAUUUGCAGAAAUAAAAAAGGUACAGGUAAAAAACCUCAUUUUCUGUUCGGGUUUAUCAUCAGUACCAGUACAGCAGAAUCUAUGACAAUUGGAAAAGAAAAGUACAAUAACACAGGAAAAGUGGUGUUUUAAAUUGUCACUUUUUGUUGUAAUAGCAACUAAAAUAGACCUCCUGAAAAAUUUUACGUGUAAUUUACAAUAAAAACUACUUUUUUUCAUUCUCACUACUGUACUCUCAGUACUGGCAGACAGCAUACUGGUAGGCUACUAAAUAAAUGAAAAAUUCUUUGUUUAUAUUUUUCAGGACAACCUCCAGCAGUUACCAGUAUGAGAUAUAAAGGUUCACUGCAGUUUUGACUAUGCUGAACAAGUACUACAGUACACAUACUAUGCUCAGCAAGUGGAGUUGCUGUGAGUUCUCGUGCAGGCUCUCAGAUUUUCUACCUAGUGUAUGAAAAGUACAGUACUGCUGUUGGAAGAGGAGCAAACAGUAUGGUAUCUAUGGUCCACCAUCACUUCAAGCAUCAUAACUAUGGAUAAAGGAAGGUUUCAUUACAUAUGGAUAAUUAUAUUGGACAAAAUAAGAAAAGUGUUCUAAUAAGUUCUGGAAUGUGGCUUGUUAUGAUGGGUCUAAAUGACUGACUUGGAGUACAACCUGAUGGAGGCCGGGCUUGCAGAAUUCAGUCCUGAACAUGUUUAGAAUGUCUUCUGCCUGACCUGGUAUAGUAUUCUUGAAGAAUUAUACCUUCAACACAGAGACAGAGAUUAAUAUUUUAGGCAGGGGAUUGGCAUGACAGGCUAAUUCUCCAACCAUAUUACCAUUCCUCAGCUGGAUGCCAGUCGACAGUGGUACCUGUAUAAUGAAAUAGCGCCCCUUUGCAGCAACAGCAAUGUAUGCUCAAAACUAGCAGUGCCAAAGCCAUUAAAAUUGAGAACUCUGUCAUUUAAAACGAAGAAUGAAUGGAAAAAAGUGUUUAACAUUUAAAGUAGUACAGAGAAAGAGCUUAGCUCAUUUGGUAUUUUCUGAAAUUUUAGUAAUUUGAAAGUGUUUUUGAUUUUUUAAAGGUGUACUAGACCCAAAUUCCAUAUAUAUGAAUAUGAACAAAUGCUACAUAUAUAGUUAUGUAAACAUUGAAAUUACCAAGUUUAUGGUGUCAGCAGUAGUAUGCAUUGGUUAAAUAUAGACACACUGUAUGUAUGUAAGGCUGAACACAAUAUAAAUGUGAAAUUCCUCUAAGACACUGGAAGAUUUUUCAUCAAUACUGUUUAGUACUGCAUGACAUAAAAU